ensembl:lncRNA
CCAGGCAUGCGGCUGGGAGUGCUGCACCAGACCCCCGGGUGGUCAUGGCGGGAGCAGACGUGGAGGGCGAGAAGCCUACGCCCCUCCCGCACGGGUCAGCAGACCACCACGCAGAGAAACGGACAACCUGCGGACAGGCCCAGGCAGCGUGCAGCCAACCAGAGCACCCGGGAGGACACACGGCCCCGUCUCGGAGCGCCUGACUCGCACCGCGGCCCCUCUCUCCCCAGAGAGCACAUCCUUCCCGGGCAGAGCCCCGAGGACGUCCCCGCAGCUCCAGAGCACAGGCCAGCGUUUCGGGACAAGGAAUCGCAUGGCGACACCUUCCCGGUCCCGGAGGCAAUAGGAAAGCCCGUUCUCGCUCAAGGAGCCCCGGCAACCCAGCGGGCUCCCAGGGGCAGAGGACACAAGGCACACGGGCCCCUACCGUGGUCGUGGUCGUGGUCGUGGUCGUGGUCGUGGUCGUGCUCGGGGUCGGGGUCGUGGUCGUGGUCGUGGUCGUGGUCGUGGUCGUGGUCGUGGUCGUGGUCGUGGUCAGCCUCGGUGCUGGGAGUCAUGGUUGGGAGCGGCACGUCCGGAACAGGUUCCCGGGUGCCGGGCUCGGCGUCUGCGGAAGAAGAAGAGACAUCACACACUUGGCCUGAGUGAGGGUCUUUGCCGACAACACACCUGCCUCCGCCUAGGAAACCAGGCAGAGAAAUGUUCUCCCGGCCCCACACCUCCCGACGCCUCAUGUGGGUGGGUGCCUAGGUCAGUGCGGAGACAGCAUGGGCGCCUGCCUGCCUAGGCCACAAAGAAUCCCGACCAAGGGAAACUGGUGGCACCGGGGCCAGGGCGAGGGCCCGCCAUCCCCCCUUGUGCGUUGGGCCGCGCAAGGCCUUGGUGCCACCCCACCCUCCAAGUGGGUUCCCCUCCUUGGCCAGGGCUGGCGGGCUAAGAGCGGCCCUUCCCUUCCACACGGCAAGGCGACGAGGAAGGGGAAGUGAAAGGAUCCAGGAACCAGGCAAGGGCCACCUCCGGGUUCCAGGGGGAGCCAAGAAAGAGCCUGACGGCACCCAGCCAGCCCCCUGUCUCAGGGGAGGGGCCUGGUGGGCACACCUCGAGCAAUCCUCUGGGCCCUCCAGGACGGCAACUGAGCACCGUGUCCGGCACGGGCUCAGUCCAGCCAGGCCCCGCUGGACGGCUCCCCGCACGGGGGCGAGAGGGGAGAAAAGCGGACGGAGCAACCGCGCCCUCUCUCAUCUGCGCCCACUCAGGGCACGGAGGACAGACGGGCCCGCGUGGCUGGCUCCACACACCAGCCCGGGUCUGGUCUGGGCCACGAGCGCACGACUGGGAACUGGCCCAUCCAGGACACUGGGUCAGAUUCUCCUGGUGGCCGCCGGACUACACGGCAGACAACUCCCCAGCUGCCUGGGGGCACGGCACGGGUCCAGAACACGCUCGUGCCAGCGUCAGAGGGCACAUCGAGGACUUGUCCUCAAGACAGCGGCCACGCCUCCUUGACGCUGUCCCGGAAGCUUGGAAGACCCAGCCAACGGCCAAAAGAAAGC